GGUAGUGGGGGGCAGGGAGCGGGGGUGAUACGGGGACUGGAGACGUGAUUCGGGUUCACUGGGCGUGAAGGGGGCGCAGGCGGCGAAGUGUGUGAGGCGUGAAAGCCCGGGGCUUAACCCCGGAAUUGCACCUCAAACUACAUGGCUAGAGCAUUGGAGAGGGGAGCAGAAUUCACGGUGUAGCAGUGAAAUGCGUAGAUAUCGUGAGGAAUACCAGAGGCGAAGGCGGCUACCUGGACAAUUGCUGACGCUCAGGCACGAAAGCGUGGGGAGCAAAAGGGAUUAGAUACCCCUGUAGUC
rnacentral:rRNA from 1 species